rnacentral:rRNA from 1 species
UACAGAGGGGGCAAGCGUUGUUCGGAAUUACUGGGCGUAAAGGGCGCGUAGGCGGCCUGCUAAGUCGAACGUGAAAUCCCCGAGCUCAACUCGGGAACUGCGUCCGAUACUGGCAGGCUUGAAUCCGGGAGAGGGAUGCGGAAUUCCAGGUGUAGCGGUGAAAUGCGUAGAUAUCAGGAGGAACACCGGUGGCGAAGGCGGAUCUCUGGGCCAUUACUGACGCUGAGGAGCGAAAGCGUGGGGAGCGAACAGG